CGUAGGGUCCAAGCGUUAUCCGGAAUCACUGGGCGUAAAGCGUUUGUAGGCGGAAGUUUAAGUGAGAUGCGAAAUCUUGUGGCUCAACCACAUAGACGGUAUCUCAUACUGGGCUUCUAGAAUAUAGCAGAGGUAAGUGGAAUUAGUAGUGUAGCGGUAAAAUGCGUAGAUAUUACUAGGAACACCAAUGGCGAAGGCAGCUUACUGGGCUAUUAUUGACGCUGAGAAACGAAAGCGUGGGGAGCGAACAGGAUUAGAUACCCUGGUAGUCCACGCCGUAAACGAUGUGUGCUAUUAGUUCGAGGUAUCGACCCCUUGGGCUGAACAGCUAACGCGUUAAGCACACCGCCUGGGGAGUACGAGCGCAAGCUUA
rnacentral:rRNA from 1 species